rnacentral:rRNA from 1 species
UACGAAGGGGGCUAGCGUUGUUCGGAAUUACUGGGCGUAAAGCGCACGUAGGCGGGUUGUUAAGUCAGGGGUGAAAUCCCGGAGCUCAACUCCGGAACUGCCCUUUGAUACUGGCAAUCUAGAGACUGGAAGAGGUUAGUGGAAUUCCCAGUGUAGAGGUGAAAUUCGUAGAUAUUGGGAAGAACACCAGUGGCGAAGGCGGCUAACUGGUCCAGUACUGACGCUGAGGUGCGAAAAGCGUGGGGGAGCAAACAGGAUUA